UCGUAGCUCAGCUGGUUAGAGCGCACGCUUGAUAAGCGUGAGGUCGAAGGUUCGAUCCCUUCCGGGCC
rnacentral:tRNA from 1 species